rnacentral:rRNA from 1 species
UUCGUAGUGACCUGCGGAGGUCAUUAU